UAUGGAGGGGACUAGCGUUGUUCGGAAUUACUGGGCGUAAAGCGCACGUAGGCGGAUUUGUAAGUCAGGGGUGAAAUCCCGGGGCUCAACCUCGGAACUGCCUUUGAUACUGCAAAUCUCGAGUCCGGAAGAGGUGAGUGGAAUUCCUAGUGUAGAGGUGAAAUUCGUAGAUAUUAGGAAGAACACCAGUGGCGAAGGCGGCUCACUGGUCCGGUACUGACGCUGAGGUGCGAAAGCGUGGGGAGCAAACAGG
rnacentral:rRNA from 1 species